UAAUUCUCAACAAAUUUCUGGUAAUUUCUCAUCGGUUCUUUCAGAACUUUGACCUCGAAAAUGUAAAAGAUCACUUCACCGUUUACAACAGUAUCUUUAUAUUUUUAGUAUUAUACCAAUGUCUCAUAUCAGUUAUAAUGUGCAUAAGUAGCUUUUAUUUUUGGACAAACAACACAGUCGAAGCCCUGUUCAAUUUCACAAUCAUGAUAAUUUAUUCUUCAGUAACUUCAAGAUGAUAGCAUCAUUCGCUACUUGAAAGAUAUAUGGAAUAACUUAUCGAUCAUGCAUUUCAAGUUUCAACUUCAGGAAACACGAACGCCAGCUCAGACAUAUUUUAAAUUUGAAUAGAUUGCAUUUAUAACACGGUCAAGAAAUUAUAUACAAAUGAAUAUCAUUUAAUUGUUUACAAUGAUUUAAAAACAACUAUAAUAAACCCCCAACAAGUUAUGAACUUCAUUGUCGUGAUUCUGAUGCCAUUGAUCCUUGAUCAUGUCCGAUGCCUUUUCUGCAAUCAUUAUGGUCGGUGCGUUCGUGUUUCCCCGGACGAUGGUGGGCAUGAUGGAAGCGUCUACCACCCUGAGACCUUCUACUCCAUAUACGCGCAG